ensembl:snRNA
CUAUUGUUUGAAAGGUGAAUAGGUUAGUUUCCCCUUAAUGGAUGGAAGAGGGCCUCAGGUCAGAUAAUGAAGACAUUGCCACCUACUUUGUGGCAUCUAAAUAUAGUUU